GAGGGUAGAGCUCAGUGACAGAGCGCAUGCUUAGCAUGCAUGAGGUCCUGGGUUCAAUCCCCAGUACCUCCA
rfam:Camelus ferus unplaced genomic scaffold scaffold247, whole genome shotgun sequence.